UGAUAUUUUAUAUGUGAAAAGUAGAAAAAUAUGACUGAAAUUUUCAAAUUUAUUUAUGUUAUGAUUAUCUUUAUUUUUUUUCUUGUAAAUGGCGUAAACAGUUCCGGAAAGUGUGUUCAUUGCUAUGACCACAAAGAAUGUACUGAUCAUUGUCCAAAGUUAAUAGGGUGUUGUUAUAAUUACAUUUGUAAUUGCUAUAAGGAUUUAUCUAAGAAGUGCUAAUUCAAUUAUGAAUUAAUAACUAGUAGUGUCACUUUAAAAAAUAAAAAUUAUAUUACAUCCUCUAAAUUUUGUAUUUAAAUAAUUAAGACCUAUAUUCAAAUUAUUACUGUUUUCGUGUGUGACAUA